CAAAUACUCCCUCCGUCCGAAAAAACUUGUCAUCAAAAUGGACAAAAAUAGGUGUAUCUAAAACUAAAAUACAUCUAGAUACACCCCUUUUAUUCAUUUUGAUGACAAGUAUUUCCGGACGGAGGGAGUAUUUA
rfam:Triticum aestivum genome assembly, contig: Triticum_aestivum_CS42_TGACv1_scaffold_327916_4BS